CCGCCGGCCCGCGCCGCCUACCUGCCGGGUACCGCUCGUUGACCGGCCAGCUGUCCACCUGCAGGGUGGCGUUGCCGCCGCUUCGAGUGAAGCGCACCACGUGGUAUUUGCCGUCGCUUACGAUGGCGUUGGGCUCGUCGAUGAUGGGCGAACUGAGGCUCAGACAGCUGCGGUGACUUGCACAAAGACAGCAAGGAAGUGGCAAAGUUGGGAUUCAAACCCAGACCAUCUACUGAAAGCCAUGCAGAGCUUCGCAUGAGGGAGAAGAGAGAGAAGGAGCAGCCCUCACUCACAGAGGACACAGGGAAACCCAGUCACACCCGCCACCCAGAAAGGCAACUGAAACAACUGCAAACACCACUCUAUGGGGAAAUACACAUCUAUAGAUAAACUCCAUCAGAAAUCA